rnacentral:tRNA from 1 species
GCCCGGGUGGCGGAAUUGGUAGACGCGCUAGAUUCAGGGUCUAGUAUCCAGUAGGAUGUGCUGGUUCAACUCCAGUCUCGGGCACAA